GAAGAACGUGCGUGAGAGUAACUGUUCACGCAGUGACGGUAUCCAACCAGAAAGUCACGGCUAACUACGUGCCAGCAGCCGCGGUAAUACGUAGGUGGCAAGCGUUAUCCGGAUUUAUUGGGCGUAAAGCGAGCGCAGGCGGUUGCUUAGGUCUGAUGUGAAAGCCUUCGGCUUAACCGAAGAAGUGCAUCGGAAACCGGGCGACUUGAGUGCAGAAGAGGACAGUGGAACUCCAUGUGUAGCGGUGGAAUGCGUAGAUAUAUGGAAGAACACCAGUGGCGAAGGCGGCUGUCUGGUCUGCAACUGACGCUGAGGCUCGAAAGCAUGGGUAGCGAACAGGAUUAGAUACCCUGGUAGUCCAUGCCGUAAACGAUGAGUGCUAGGUGUUGGAGGGUUUCCGCCCUUCA
rnacentral:rRNA from 1 species